CCCUUAGAUGUUCUGGGCUGCACGCGUGCUACAAUGGCGUUUCCAGCAAGUCUGCGAACCCGAGAGGGCCAGCGGAUCUUCGAAUUGGCGUCGUGAUCGGGACAGUCGAUUGCAAUUAUUUGACUCAAACGAGGAAUUCCUUGUAAUCGCGAUUCAUCAUAUCGCGCUGAAUACGUCCCUGCCCUUUGUACACACCGCCCGUCGCUCCUACCGAUUGAGCGAUCCGGUAAAUGUUUUGGAUUGGUGCCGGGGCGGCUAGCUGCCGGCCGCUACGAAAUUUUGUGAACCUUAUCGCUUAGAGGAAGGAAAAGUCGUAACA
rnacentral:rRNA from 1 species